GACGAACGCUGGCGGCGUGCCUAAUACAUGCAAGUAGAACGCUGAAGGAGGAGCUUGCUUCUCUGGAUGAGUUGCGAACGGGUGAGUAACGCGUAGGUAACCUGCCUGGUAGCGGGGGAUAACUAUUGGAAACGAUAGCUAAUACCGCAUAAUAGCAGUUAUUGCAUGAUAACUGUUUGAAAGGUGCAAUUGCACCACUACCAGAUGGACCUGCGUUGUAUUAGCUAGUUGGUGGGGUAACGGCUCACCAAGGCGACGAUACAUAGCCGACCUGAGAGGGUGAUCGGCCACACUGGGACUGAGACACGGCCCAGACUCCUACGGGAGGCAGCAGUAGGGAAUCUUCGGCAAUGGAAGGAAGUCUGACCGAGCAACGCCGCGUGAGUGAAGAAGGUUUUCGGAUCGUAAAGCUCUGUUGUAAGAGAAGAACGAGUGUGAGAGUGGAAAGUUCACACUGUGACGGUAGCUUACCAGAAAGGGACGGCUAACUACGUG
rnacentral:rRNA from 1 species